CACUUCCGGACUGACAUACUUUGUUCCUGAUGAAGACUCUUCCAUGAUUUCAUUUCCUGCAGAAUGGACCAUAGAGCAUUGUGUUGAGAGCCCAAGAACUUGCCAGUCAAGAUGAAAAACUUCUUCUAAUGGAAUCCAGCUUGAAAGCUACUCAAGAGCAGCUAACUGAGCAAAUAGCAGAAACAGUUCGCCAAGAACAGAACAGUAGAAAACCCCAGGCAGAGCUGAAGACAGUGACAGAAGGGAUUAUUGCUUCUGAAGAAGAAAAAAAUGAUUACAAAAAAAGCACAAGCAGGGGCAGUGGCAGAGGCAGAGGGAGAAGUAGGUUUCCUGCUCACGUGCGGCUGGAUUACAGGACCCUGGGAUCAUGACCUGAGCCGGAGGCGGACGCUUAACCAACUGAGCCACCCAGUGUAUUAGAGUUCUCCAGAGAAUCAGAACCAACAGGAGGUUGAGAAGUGCCAUGAUCUGUCAUCUGCAAGCCAGAGAGGCUCAAGAAAGCCCGUGGUGUAGUUCCAAUCCCUACCCGAAGGCCUGAGAAUCAGGGGAGCCAAUGGUGUGAGUCCUGGUCCAAGUCUGAAGGCCCAAGAACCAAGAGCACCAAGGUGAAGACAUAUGUCCCCACUUAAGCAGAGGGCAAAUUCACCCUUCCUCAGAAUUGUUGUUCAAUUCAGGCCCUCCAAGGAUUAGAUGAUGCCCACGUACACUGGUGAGGGAGCAUCUUCUUUACUCAGUCUACCAAUUCAAAUGCUAAUCUUUUCCAGAAACACCCUCUCAGACACAUUCAGAAUAAUGUUUUUACCAACUAUCUGGGCACCCCUUAGCCCAGUCAAGCUGACACAUAAAAUUAACUAUCACAGCAAUUGUCUUAUAAUUAGUUGGAUAGUGAUUUAAGUACAGAGUCUGGGCCAUAAUACAGGUCUAUCUAUUGAUUUUCCUGGCAUACUAUCAAAAUAAAUAUAAUUGUGCAUUGUUGGGGUUAAUGUAGAGCAUGAAGUCAUCCAUAAUACCUGGCUUGCUAAAAUGUUAACACGGAGGCCGCUGGGGGCAAUGGAAGGUUUCGGAGAAGGGAGUGGGCCUUUGGAAUGCCGGGCCAGCUCACCACUCCGCCAGAGGAAUGCCACGGGGAAUUACCUUUCCCGAAGUUCUCUAACCCCAAACAGCCGCCCUGUGAUCUAAGAGAUGUCCGCAUUGUCCCUUAGGCUAUGUUUAGCAGAACUCAGAGAACACACAGAUUAGGAUAUCGUAUCUUUCCCGUAAACAGAUCCUCCUAGUUCCAUUAAGACCCCUUGUCAACACAUCCCGUGCUUGAGAAGCAGUGAUAAGGAUUUGUGAUUCUCCUGAAGGACCAAUAAAAGCUGGAGCAAAGAAGAGCAAAGCGUCUUCGUCUCUGAGCAUUGACCCCCUUGCCUUCUCCUCUCUUUCAACGGCAAAGUCUGGAGUCAUCUUUCAUCCUCGGUACAGGGAUUGCUGGCCAUUCCCGGCAGUGCAUUUCAUGUAUUUUCUCUAAGAAGACUUUUUUUGUUUUUGCUGGUUUAAAUCUAAAAAGAAGAAAAGUGACAGCAAUUUUUCAGCCUUAGAAAAGAAGAAAAUUCUGUCAUUUGCAACAACAUGGAUGAAUCUGGAGGAUAUUAUGCUAAGUAACAUGUUAGACACAGAAGAAAGCGAAUACUACAUGAACUCACGUAUAUGGAAUCGAAAAAAAAUGUAAUGCUGGAAGCAGAGUGGAAUGGUGCUUGCCAGGGUCUGGGUGGUGAGGGAAAAGGCAGAUACUGGUCAAAGGAUAUAAAAGUUUCAGAUAUGCAAGGUGAACCGGUUAUGGAGAGCUAAUGUAGAGCAAUGUGACCAUCGUUAAUAAUACCGUGUUAUAUACUUGAAAUUUGAUGAGAAUGCAUCUUUUUUUCUUUAAGAUUUAUUUUUAUUUAUUUAUUUGAGAGAGCGUGUGUGUGCAUAUGCAUGCACACAUGAGCAUGUGCAUGAGCAGGGAGGGGGGCGGCACAGAGGGAGAGGAUCCCAAGCAGACUCCUUGCUAAGUGCAGAGCCUGAGGUGGGGCUCAUGGCUGGGCUUGAUCCCAGGACCCUGAGAUCAUGACCUCAAUCAAAACCAAAAACCAGAGGCUUAACUGCCUGAGCCACCCAGGCACCUCACUGAGAGCGGAUCUUACGUGUUCUUACCACACAUAAAACGUAGUCACUAUAUCAAGUAAAGGAUUUCUUAGCGAGAUUGUGAUAAUUAUUUCACAAUGUAUUCGUGUAUGUCAAAUCAUCACGGUGUACAUCUUACAUAUACAUAAUUUUGUCAAUUACAUCUCAACGAAGAUGAAAAAAAUCUAUGUCAUCAUGUAUGACAAUAGGGAAAAAAUGUAGUAAGGACGCAAUUUCAUUAUUCUUCAAAUGUGUGAGGAUCUACAAAGAAAAGAAGAUACAGCAGAAGCUUGGUGGUGGUAUAGCUUCAAUGCAAGUUUGGCCAUUACACCACUUUAAAUCAUGUAUCAUAUGUAUUACCAUAGGCACUUCAUUAACAUUAUUGUAAAUAUUUAUACAAACUGAAAGAAGAAAACAUAAAAAGGAUUACUUUUGUUAUAAAACAUCCCACAUUUACCAACACCUAAGUCCUCUUUCGAUUUAAUCAUUUCAAGCAGAGUUCUCAUGAAAUUGUAAUUAAAUUGAAUGUAUACAUUUGUGUUUGUAACAUAGCUUAAUUUUACAUAAGGAUAUUCACUAAUUUAUGCAUUAUUUUAAAAGCAAAAUUUCAUUUCAAUAAUUUAUCUCCCAAUUUUCCAAGCUAAGAGCACUGACACCUUUUUUUCUUUGUUUUUAUUAUCCUUUUUUUUUCAAGGUUUGAUGAUUUUUUCCUUUGGAAUUAUUAUUUUUGGAUAUUUAACCAAAGUGGGAUUACUACAUCAAAGCUUUUCUGUCUCCUUGUACAUAUUACCUAUUAUUCUCCAGAAAGACUAUACAGUUUUUAUUUCUGUCUAUAAAGUUGGAAAGCCAAAUAUUGGUUCAUUCUCUUCAAAACUUUAAAGAAUAAUAUUGUAUAGCAUUGGUAUAUAUGAAUAAUUUUUUAAAGUUAAGCUUUCUUCUAUGUUUUUCAUUGUACAUUUAUCUAUAACUUCACAUUAUUGAAUGUAUCAAGUUUCAGUGGCAUUUUAAAUGCACAGUUUUCUAUGAGGCACCAUUUAUUCAUUUAUUCCACACAUGGUUGCUGAGUUCUUACUUGUAGGACAUAACAUACCUGUAACGGAAAGCCUUUCCCAUACUUGGUCAUGUCUAAGACUUAAUACAGCAUCAGACAAGCUGUAUGACCAUGUCCUACGCUCUGUGAGGCACCAGCUGAUGUGGAUACUUACAGGUUUUGCCACCCAUCUUCACAUUCUCUACGAUAACAAGGUUAUGGUUUGGGCUUUUGUGACCCACCAUUCUCCCCCUCAGCCCACCUGCAUUAGGUAAGACUGAUUCCUCACUACUCACUCCCCAGCAACACAAGCAGACCGCGUUGUGCAGGCCUAUGUCAUUCAGUGCAUUUCCUUCGUCAGACCUCAGUGACCACUCAGAGAUGGACACAUCAUCUAAUGGAACCAAUGAAAUGGACCAAGACUCCUCCUUCUUCCUGGAACAGGAGCAGAGCUGCGGAAGACGCUGGAGCUGUUGUUGCUACCACAGAGAUCUCGCUGGGACCCAACACUGCAGAAGCUGGUCUCUUCUGGAGCCCAAGAAAGCUUCAGCUCAGCCACAUGGCUGGAGGGUCUGCUCAUGCAUGCAGACGCUAAGACUGCACCUGCCUGCACAACCACACCAGUCUGUAGGUUUGCUUUAGGCUUCAGUCAGUUUCGUUUUUAAUCACUCUCAACCUAAACUAUACCAAUACAUAUUUUGGGUUCACAAUAAACACAAGAUGGUAAAACCAUCCCUGUUCUGUUGGACUUACAAAGCCAACAGACUAAUUAGACAUACAGAUUUUAUCAAAUAAUUAUAAAUAUGGUGAUUUAGUGUCUGUGAUACAGUUGCAGCUGUGACAAGUAUGAGAUCUGUCGAACUUGGGUUCUCCCACAUUAGGUAGCCCUCCGGGAUCCGAGGCUCUAUCUGUCUGUCUGGAGAGUAUAUAUAUUGUACAGAGUUCUCUGCAAGUGCUUGAGAGAGAGCAUUCCCAAGAACAGAUAGGUAAGUAGAAUUGGAGUGGCAUUUUAAACACAAGGAAAAUAGCACACAAAAGCAUGUGGUAAGGGCGCCUGGGUGGCUCAGUUGGUUAAGCGACUGCCUUCGGCUCAGGUCAUGAUCCUGGAGUCCCUGGAUCGAGUCCCGCAUUGGGCUCCCUGCUCGGCAGGGAGUCUGCUUUGCCCUCUGACCCUAUCCCCUCUCAUGUGUUCUCUCUCAUUCUCUCUCUCUCAAAUAAAUAAAUAAAAUCUUAAAAAAAAAAAAAAAAAAGCAUGUGGUAAGAAAGAACAUGAGCAAAAGAAGGCCAGAAAGUUUGUGGGAAAUGAGUGAGUGAAAUUUGAGUGGGAGGAGCUUAAAUCUGCAAAAGCCAGCAUGAGACUUUUGCUAAUUACCUUAUGAGCGAACAUAAAAGAAUGAAAGGGGGCUUUGAAAAGGGGCACGUGUGAUGAGAUUUACUUUUUAAGGAGAUAAUUCCUAUUGCAGUGUGGAGAGCAGAAUGGUUGAGAGAGCAGUGGAGGCAGGGCUUUGCUAGAUGAGGUGUGGUGGGAGAGAGCGCUGAGAGGAACCCCAGGACAGCCACAAAACACACACACACACACACACACACACACGGUGAAGAUGGGGAUGGUUUGCGGGACAGCAGUGGGGGCAAUGCUUAUUUUGCCAUUUUGUCUAAGACAUAAAUGGCCCUGAAGCCAUAUCCAAACCUUUUCAUUUCACAAGUUUCGGUUUUUUGUCCCUCGUACUACAAAGGGGAACGAACUGAAGCAACUCUACAAUUUGAUUAAUCCAGAUUUUUAAAAAAAAUGUACAGACGUUUUCACAAGAAUAUCACUUCAUUUAUUUAACUAUAUUCCUCAUUUACCCAACCCACUUUUAAGUGUAAAUACAACUUGGAAGUGUUCUGGUAAGAUUCACUUAAUGAAAGAGUUUUUAAAACUCAAAGAAAAAUCUUCAUUCUACUUACUUGAUCUUUUCCUUUUCUUCCUUAAUUUUCUCUAGUGAUAAUUUUAGGAAAUAUCAUUGAAUAUUUACUAAAAUCUAAAAAUCAGUAAUUACAAUUUACUGAUAAUAUGAAAAGCAAGUCUUCUCAUUUUCAAACUGACCCUGGCUGAUUAUUAGUUCGACUAUUUCAUGUCAUACUUUAUCACAUGUAAAAUUAUAAAAAGCACAUUAAAAUGGCAUGAAAGAUAGUUUUUAAAA